AAUAGAUACCCAGGUAGUCCACGCCGUAAACGAUGAGUGCUAAGUGUUAGGGGGUUUCCGCCCCUUAGUGCUGCAGCUAACGCAUUAAGCACUCCGCCUGGGGAGUACGGUCGCAAGACUGAAACUCAACGGAAUUGACGGGGGCCCGCACAAGCGGUGGAGCAUGUGGUUUAAUUCGAAGCAACGCGAAGAACCUUACCAGGUCUUGACAUCCCAUUGACCACUAUGGAGACAUAGUUUUCCCUUCGGGGACAACGGUGACAGGUGGUGCAUGGUUGUCGUCAGCUCGUGUCGUGAGAUGUUGGGUUAAGUCCCGCAACGAGCGCAACCCUUGUUCUUAGUUGCCAUCAUUUAGUUGGGCACUCUAAGGAGACUGCCGGUGACAAACCGGAGGAAGGUGGGGAUGACGUCAAAUCAUCAUGCCCCUUAUGACCUGGGCUACACACGUGCUACAAUGGACGGUACAAACGGUUGCCAACCCGCGAGGGGAGCUAAUCCGAUAAAACCGUUCUCAGUUCGGAUUGUAGGCUGCAACUCGCCUACA
rnacentral:rRNA from 1 species